CCCCUCUCAGGAUCGUACCUGGAGAGUUUCCAGUACUCUACCUGUCUCAACCAUGGCAGGAAGAGUCAAGCAGAGGCAUACCCAUUCCAUUCCUAGCUUGCGCAGGGGCUAGAGAGUGGAAGGCAAUCUGCUACAAGU